AAGCAUAUCAAUAAGCGGAGGAAAAGAAACCAACAGGGAUUGCCUCAGUAACGGCGAGUGAAGCGGCAAAAGCUCAAAUUUUAAAUCUGGUGCUUUCGAGUACCCGAGUUGUAAUUUGGAGAGGCAACUUCCGACAGAGCUUCAACCUAUGUUCUUUGGAACAAGACGUCACAGAGGGUGAGAAUCCCGUGCAUGGUUGAAGAUUGCUGUUGUAUGUGAAGUGCUUUCAACGAGUCGAGUUGUUUGGGAAUGCAGCUCAAAAUUGGGUGGUAAAUUUCAUCUAAAGCUAAAUAUUGGCGAGAGACCGAUAGCGCACAAGUAGAGUGAUCGAAAGAUGAAAAGCACUUUGAAAAGAGAGUCAAACAGUACGUGAAAUUGUUGAAAGGGAAGCGCUUGUAAUCAGAUCUGGUCGAGAAUGAUCAACCUUUCCAAUUGGAGAGGUGCACUCGUUCUUGGAUCAGGCCAACGUCGGUUAACCUUUUGGGUAAAUGGUCUUGGGAAUGUGGCACUCUUAGGGGUGAGCUUAUAGACCUUGACAGUACAUGAUACCAUGCAGGUUGACCGUGGAACCGCGCCUUACGGCUAGGACGUUGGCUUAAUGGUUUUCAGCGACCCGUCUUGAAACACGGACCAAGGAGUCUAACAUCUAUGCGAGUGUUUGGGUGUAAAACCCUUGCGCGUAAUGAAAGUAAAUGUGGGUGGGAACCUUUCCGAGGUGCACCAUCGACCGAUCCUGACGUUUUCAGAUGGAUUUGAGUAGGAGCAUAGCUGUUGGGACCCGAAAGAUGGUGAACUAUGCCUGAAUAGGGUGAAGCCAGAGGAAACUCUGGUGGAGGCUCGCAGCGGUUCUGACGUGCAAAUCGAUCGUCAAAUUUGGGUAUAGGGGCGAAAGACUAAUCGAACCAUCUAGUAGCUGGUUCCUGCCGAAGUUUCCCUCAGGAA
rnacentral:rRNA from 1 species